rnacentral:rRNA from 1 species
AACGAACGCUGGCGGCAUGCCUAACACAUGCAAGUCGAACGAGACCUUCGGGUCUAGUGGCGCACGGGUGCGUAACGCGUGGGAACCUGCCCUUAGGUUCGGAAUAACUCCCCGAAAGGGGUGCUAAUACCGGAUAAUGUCUUCGGACCAAAGAUUUAUCGCCUUUGGAUGGGCCCGCGUUGGAUUAGCUAGUUGGUAGGGUAAAAGCCUACCAAGGCGACGAUCCAUAGCUGGUCUGAGAGGAUGAUCAGCCACACUGGGACUGAGACACGGCCCAGACUCCUACGGGAGGCAGCAGUGGGGAAUAGUGGACAAUGGGCGAAAGCCUGAUCCAGCAAUGCCGCGUGAGUGAUGAAGGCCUUAGGGUUGUAAAGCUCUUUUACCCGGGAUGAUAAUGACAGUACCGAGAGAAUAAGCUCCGUCUAACUCCG